AUUGAACGCUGGCGGCAUGCCUUACACAUGCAAGUCGAACGGCAGCACGGGGGCAACCCUGGUGGCGAGUGGCGGACGGGUGAGUAAUGCAUCGGAACGUGCCCUGAAGUGGGGGAUAACGCAGCGAAAGCUACGCUAAUACCGCAUAUUCUGUGAGCAGGAAAGCAGGGGAUCGCAAGACCUUGCGCUUUGGGAGCGGCCGAUGUCGGAUUAGCUAGUUGGUGGGGUAAAGGCCUACCAAGGCGACGAUCCGUAGCGGGUCUGAGAGGAUGAUCCGCCACACUGGGACUGAGACACGGCCCAGACUCCUACGGGAGGCAGCAGU
rnacentral:rRNA from 1 species